rnacentral:rRNA from 1 species
UGAUCGGGAUACCUUGCGAGAGCGGUGCUAAUACCGAAUGGUCUGGGCAUUUUGAAAUGUGCCUGGUAAAUGUGUGCCUCUGAUUCAGCUAUCGUCUNUGGAUGGGUCCGCGUCCCAUUAGCUUGUUGGUAGGGUCAUGGCCUACCAAUGCGACGAUGGGUAGCUGGUCUGAGAGGAUGAUCAGCCACACUGGGACUGGAACACGGCCCAGACUCCUACGGGAGGCAGCAGUGGGGAAUAUUGGGCAAUGGGCGCAAGCCUGACCCAGCAACGCCGCGUGAGGGAAGAAGGUCUUCGGAUCGUAAACCUCAGUCAGGAGGGAAGAAAUGGGUUGUCCUGAACAGGGAUGGCCUUUGACGGUACCUCCAGAGGAAGCACCGGCCAACUCCGUGCCAGCAGCCGCGGUAAUACGGAGGGUGCAAGCGUUAUUCGGAAUCACUGGGCGUAAAGCGCACGUAAUGCGGCUUUGCAAGUCAGGUGUGAAAGCCCUCGGCUCAACCGAGGAAUUGCACUUGAAACUGUAGAGCUCGAGUUCGGGAGAGGGUGGCGGGAAUUCCCAUGUGUAUGAGUGAAAUCCGUAGAUAUCUGGAGUGAACACCCAGAGGCGAAGGCGGCCACCUGGACCGAAACUGACGCUGAGGUGCGAAAGCGUGGGGAGCAA